GGGAACGGCUGGGCUUUGGGAGCAAAACACAAAUGGACAAAGAAACUGUACUGGAGGUCUCGGUCCGGCUGAACAGAUCUGACUCCGACAUCCCCACAGACCCACAGUUCCUCCAUAUUCCGGGCAUGGACGUUGCUCCCUCGGGGGAUGACGCUGACUCGCCUGCCAAGGGUUGUCUGUGAGCAGCCGGCCUGCUGGGCGACGGGCCGAAGGAAGGCAGGAUGCGGGCCGGGGGAGGGAGCCCACACACGCAGCGUCGCGCUUGGCCAGACAGCCCCUGCAGAACCAAGGACAGAUGGCAGGGGGUUUGCAAUCCAUCAUUUGGAAGUGAUUGUCCAGGUGCAGGCAGCUGCCAAGCACUAGAGUGUACAGCCUUGCUGGGUCCCUAUCUGUGCAAAUGUCCGGCUGGGAGCUGGUUCUGCUGGAGGUCGACGCCAGCCAGGACACUCGGAGAAGCAGCCGGGGCUGGGGUGUGAGUGUCCCUCUCCACCAGGCCGUCCUCAGUGCGGCCAGGGCUGUUUGGAUGCAGCUGUCUGGAAAGAUCACCUCAGCAAGGAUUUGGCUGUCUUCCAAGGCACUACUGGACCAGAACACAGCAUAGCUCAAGGCAUCUGAGGAAUGGAGGGGAGGCUGGGUCCUGACCUUGCAGAGCCAGGUGGCUGGCUGGGCAGUGAUGCCCCGCCUCCUGACACUCAUAGGAAUGCUGAA